UGGUUCGUAGUGUAGUGGUUAUCACGUUCGCUUUACACGCGAAAGGUCCCCGGUUCGAUCCCGGGCGGAACCAA
rnacentral:tRNA from 1 species